rnacentral:rRNA from 1 species
UAAUUUCUAUAUAACUUUCA